AGACGCGUGCUCUUCCUCUAGACAAGAUAAGUAGUUCACAAAGUAUCAUUCUCAGAAUGCAAAAAUGCAUUCUUGCAAUUAACUAUCUCGUCAGCACUGCACCGAUUGGUCUCUUCAAGGCCAAUCGUCUUGCACUGACGU